rnacentral:rRNA from 1 species
UACAGAGGGUGCGAGCGUUAAUCGGAAUUACUGGGCGUAAAGCGUGCGCAGGCGGCUUUGCAAGACAGAUGUGAAAUCCCCGGGCUCGACCUGGGAACUGCAUUUGUGACUGCAUGGCUAGAGUGCGGCAGAGGGGGAUGGAAUUCCGCGUGUAGCAGUGAAAUGCGUAGAUAUGCGGAGGAACACCGAUGGCGAAGGCAAUCCCCUGGGCCUGCACUGACGCUCAUGCACGAAAGCGUGGGGAGCAAACAGG